AUCCAGCUGACGAGUCCCGAAUAGGAUGAAACGCGCGUUUUGGAC
rfam:Schistosoma mattheei strain Denwood, Zambia genome assembly, scaffold: SMTD_scaffold0008495